ACUCAUGCCACCUUUUAACGUCGAAUCCCAUUCAAGAUUCUUCUUUCUGAAAACACUAUUUUUAGAUGUGGACUUGAGGACAGGACCGCAAACGAUGACCAUCUUCUGAAGUGCUCUUCUCAGAGACACAGGCAAACAGGGGUCAGGUCCUGGUUUCAAGGCUGCGUAGCGAUGAUCUCCUUGGCGACUGCAAGCCCCGCCUCCUCCCCUUGGAGCAUAACGCUGCGUCCCUGGCUGCAGAAUGUACUUAUGAUGUCGUUUCAAUAGAAACGAAUGUAUGUCAGCAAUCGGAUGACGACUCCAGGGAGAAUCUAUUUACGCUCUUGAUUAUCUGUGCACGUGGAACAUUCUCCAAGACAGAUCACGUGUUAGGCCACAAAACAAGUCUCAACAAGUUUAACAAGACUGAAAUCAUAUCAAGCCUCUUUUGUGACCACAAGGGUACGUAACUAGAAAUCUAUUGCAAGAAAAAAAUACUGGAAAGACACAAACACGUGGAAAGAAAACCACGAAUGGGUCAACCAAAAAUUC